rnacentral:rRNA from 1 species
UGAUAGGUCAGGUGUGGAAGUGCAGUAAUGCAUUAAGCUAACUGAUACUAAUUGCCCGUAAGGCUUGUCCC